rnacentral:rRNA from 1 species
CCUACGGGCGUCAGCAGUGAGGAAUAUUGGUCAAUGGACGAGAGUCUGAACCAGCCAAGUAGCGUGAAGGAUGACUGCCCUAUGGUUUGUACACUUCUUUUAUAUGGGAAUAAAAUGUUCCACGUGUGGGAUUUUGUAUGUACCAUAUGAAUAAGGAUCGGCUAACUCCGUGCCAGCAGCCGCGGUAAUACGGAGGAUCCGAGCGUUAUCCGGAUUUAUUGGGUUUAAAGGGACCGUAGGUGGAUUGUUAAGUCAGUUGUGAAAGUUUGCGGCACAACCGUAAAAUUGCAGUUGAAACUGGCAGGCUUGAGUACAGUAGAGGUGGGCGGAAGUCGUGGUGUAGCGGUGAAAUGCUUAGAUAUCACGAAGAACUCAGAUUGCGAAGGCAGCUCACUGGACUGCAACUGACACUGAGGCUCGAAAGUGUGGGUAUCAAACAGGAUUAGAGACCCGUGUAGUC